rnacentral:rRNA from 1 species
UACGUAGGGUGCAAGCGUUGUCCGGAAUUAUUGGGCGUAAAGAGCUCGUAGGCGGUCUGUCGCGUCUGCUGUGAAAACUCGGGGCUUAACCCCGGGCCUGCAGUGGGUACGGGCAGACUAGAGUGCGGUAGGGGGAGACUGGAAUUCCUGGUGUAGCGGUGAAAUGCGCAGAUAUCAGGAGGAACACCGGUGGCGAAGGCGGGUCUCUGGGCCGAUACUGACGCUGAGGAGCGAAAGCGUGGGGAACGAACAGG